rnacentral:rRNA from 1 species
AUUGAACGCUGGCGGCAUGCUUUACACAUGCAAGUCGAACGGGCUUGGGGGCUUGCUCCCAAGUUAGUGGCGAACGGGUGAGUAAUACAUCGGAACGUACCGUGUAGUGGGGGAUAACGUAGCGAAAGUUACGCUAAUACCGCAUACGAUCUACGGAUGAAAGCAGGGGACCUUCGGGCCUUGUGCUAUACGAGCGGCCGAUGUCUGAUUAGCUAGUUGGUGAGGUAAAGGCUCACCAAGGCGACGAUCAGUAGCGGGUCUGAGAGGAUGAUCCGCCACACUGGGACUGAGACACGGCCCAGACUCCUACGGGAGGCAGCAGUGGGGAAUUUUGGACAAUGGGCGAAAGCCUGAUCCAGCCAUGCCGCGUGUCUGAAGAAGGCCUUCGGGUUGUAAGGAC